UUGGUUAUGCUGAUAAGAGCGUAUGGUGGAUGCCUUGGCACUAAGAGCCGAUGAAAGACGUGAUAAGCUGCGAAAAGCUUCGGGGAGGAGCAAAUAUCCUUUGAUCCGGAGAUUUCUGAAUGGGGAAACCUACUUGAGCAAACCUCAAGUAUCCUUAAGCCAAUACAUAACUUAAGGAAGGGAACCCGGUGAACUGAAACAUCUAAGUAGCCGGAGGAAGAGAAAACAACAUGUGAUUCUGUGAGUAGCGGCGAGCGAAAACGGAAGAGCCCAAACCAGCGUGCGUGCAUGCUGGGGUUCGGACCGCGGAAUUGAUUCAACGAGUUUAGCAGAACGGUUUUGGGAAAGCCGGCCAGAGAGGGUGAAAGCCCCGUAAGCGAAAGACGAGUUGACAUGGCGGGAUCCAGAGUACCACGAGACACGUGGAACCUUGUGGGAAGAUGCGGGGACCACCCCGUAAGGCUAAAUACUACUUAGUGACCGAUAGCGCAUAGUACUGUGAAGGAAAGGUGAAAAGGACCCCGGGAGGGGAGUGAAAAAGAACCUGAAACCAUAUGUUUACAAGCUGUGGAAGAGCUUUAUAUGCUCAACCGCGUACUUUUUGUAGAACGGUCCGGCGAGUUACGCUGGCUGGCGAGGUUAAGGACUGAAGGUCCGGAGCCGAAGGGAAACCAAGUCUGAAUAGGGCGCAUAGUCAGUCGGAGUAGACCCGAAACCGGGUGAUCUAUCCAUGUCCAGGUUGAAGUUGCCGUAAAAGGCAAUGGAGGACCGAACCCACAUCCGUUGAAAAGGGUGGGGAUGAGGUGUGGAUAGGGGAGAAAUUCCAAUCGAACCCGGAGAUAGCUGGUUCUCCUCGAAAUAGCUUUAGGGCUAGCCUCAUACGAGUCUUGCGGAGGUAGAGCACUGAAUUCCUAAGGGGGCGUCAAAGCUUACUAAGGGAUAUCAAACUCCGAAUGCCGUGUAGAUGAUGUAUGGGAGUCAGACGAUCCGAGAUAAGUUGGGUGGUCAAAAGGGAAAGAGCCCAGACCAACAGCUAAGGCCCCAAAAUGUGUGUUAAGUGGAAAAGGAUGUGGGAUUUCGAAGACAACUAGGAUGUUGGCUCAGAAGCAGCCAUUCAUUCAAAGAGUGCGUAAUAGCUCACUAGUCGAGAGGUCCUGCGCCGAAAAUGUCCGGGGCUAAAACACACUGCCGAAGCUUUGGAAUUGAAUUAAUUCAAUUGGUAGAGGAGCAUUCUUAAAGGGACGAAGCAGUACCGUAAGGAGCUGUGGACUUUUAAGAAGAGAGAAUGCCGGAAUGAGUAGCGAGAGGAAGGUGGGAAUCCUUCCGGCCGAAUAUCUAAGGUUUCCAGAGUAAAGCUGAUCUGCUCUGGGUAAGUCGGGGCCUAAGGCGAGGUCGAAAGACGUAGUCGAUGGAUAACAGGUUGAAAUUCCUGUACUAUCCUGUAACAGAACUGUGGGGACACAGGCAGAGAGCGUGAGCCGGGAAUGGAAAGACCGGUACAAGCGAGGUAGGAGAAGAGUUGGCAAAUCCGCUCUUUAAUCUGAAGACGUGAUGUGGACUGAAAAUAAGUAGGGAAGCACGUGAGCUGACUGUCAAGAAAA
rnacentral:rRNA from 1 species